rnacentral:rRNA from 1 species
UAAGGAAUAUUGGUCAAUGGACGAAAGUCUGAACCAGCCAUGCCGCGUGGAGGAUGAAGGCCCUCUGGGUUGUAAACUUCUUUUAUAUGGGACGAAAAAGGGUCUUUCUAGAUCAACUGACGGUACCAUGUGAAUAAGCACCGGCUAACUCCGUGCCAGCAGCCGCGGUAAUACGGAGGGUGCAAGCGUUAUCCGGAUUCACUGGGUUUAAAGGGUGCGUAGGUGGGUUGGUAAGUCAGUGGUGAAAUCUCCGAGCUUAACUUGGAAACUGCCAUUGAUACUAUCAAUCUUGAAUAUUGUGGGGGUUAGCGGAAUAUGUCAUGUAGCGGUGAAAUGCUUAGAUAUGACAUAGAACACCAAUUGCGAAGGCAGCUGGCUACACAUAUAUUGACACUGAGGCUCGAAAGCGUGGGGAUCAAACA